CAUUAUUGAAUAAACUUGAACAGGCUGUUGCUGACCCUCCCUCAGGGAGGGAUAUGUGCACGCUUGUCAUCUUUAUUUUUCCAACUGUGCACAUAUUGUAGACCUAGUUGGGGACUGCUGUGCUUUCUCAAAGUCAGCUUUCCCUUGUACUUUUUCAGGUCUAUGUCAUUUUAUCACAAACCUUCUGAGUCUGUUUAGAAUGUUGAAUCAGGUCAUUUUGUUGUACCUUUAAUUAAUACAACUUUCAGCAACGGAUCUCUUGGCUCUCGCAUCGAUGAAGAACGCAGCGAAAUGCGAUAAGUAAUGUGAAUUGCAGAAUUCAGUGAAUCAUCGAAUCUUUGAACGCAUCUUGCGCUCCUUGGUAUUCCGAGGAGCAUGCCUGUUUGAGUGUCAUCUAAAUUCUCAAACCCACCAUUGAGUGUGGCUUUGGAAAUGGGGGUAGUGAUUUUUUUGCAGGCUUUUUUUAAAAAUGAAAGUCUUGCUCCCCUGAAAUGCAUUAGUGGUAUCUGAGCAGAAGGAACUACUACAGGUGUGAUAAUUUAUCUACACCUUGGUAUUGCUGCAUGAACAGAUUGAACUGCUUAUAACAAACUUUUGUUAUUUUGUUUGAAGNCCUCAAAUCAGGUAGGACUACCC
rnacentral:rRNA from 1 species